AAGCCAGCGAUCGUGGCUCCGCGCAGCCACGUUCCACCUCUCACGCAACAGCCGUCACCCGUCCUGUUCGCAUGCCGGGAUAUCGCUCGUCUCGAGGAAACCGACGACUCCAAUUCGAGCCUAGCCCCAGGCACCCACGCGCGUGCUCUGCGAUGCCGACCCAGCGAAGCCUCGCGACGAUCGUCCCUGGAAGUCCUCCGGCGUCCGUUCCUGAUGUCCACGCAAUCGCCAAGGCGGCCAUCUCCCUCUCGUCCAGCAUACCCGAGCGGCCAUAUCCCAUGUGCGGCGUACCAGGCCUGCUCGAAGCCCUCCAAAAUCCUUUCAUGUAAUCUCUCGUCAUGUGAUUAUUCCUGCACCCUCCAGCUUCUUCAUGUGGCUAGCACAGUAGAUCGCGAUUUGUUUCCAAGCUUCGAGGAAUCGACGAUCAAGCGUUGGCGACCAAGUGAUCUGGCUCUUCGAGUUCCACGAGGUUGAAGACCCUGAGCAUCUGUUUAGUGAAGGCAAGUGUCCUUUGACCUAUUAUGUCCCAUUUACUUUAUAAUUCAUCAACCCGCAUACCAUGAUCAACCUAAGGAUUGACUAGCUUUGUAUUUACCUUGUCCUUGCUUACCUUUUGGGUUAUUAUGGUUAGCAUUUUGCUAUUGCCUUAACUUAAUCAAUGAACAUGAUGUGACUAUUUAUGAUACGAUACUGUUAUCCUGAUUAUGUUGAUGAUCUUGUGAUACUCUAGGGGGCUCAGGCUGUUUCCUAAGUACCUCUCUGCAAGGACCUGUUCGUUGAGAGACCACCCGGGAUAACAGUGCAACCAUGAGGGUGGAAUGGGGUGCCCUUAGCUAAUUAAUUAGAGGAACUAGAAGUGUAGUUGCUUCGCCGUCGUGCCGUCAAUGGGGUCCAGGCACAGUGCUUGCUCUACCGAGGCUGGGUGCCGAGGUUCUUUCGUUUUGCUUUUUAGUCGCCCUCCUGCGGGGAGAGGUACUGUGUUUAUCAAACUGGAGAAACCUAACGGGCAGCUAUGACCUCUAGGGAAUCUUUGUAAAGGCUUCGUAGUGAAUCCCUGGCCAUUCACCUUGGGAGUGAAUAAGGGUCUUGCAAGCCCGGGCUAGAGAGGGAAUCACGGCUCAUGGGUAAAGUGUGCGACCUCUGCAGAGGGUAGUGAAACUGGUAUAUCAGCCGUGCUCACGGUUAUGAGCGGCCUUGGGAUCCUCUUUGAUUAGAGAUACAACUGGUUUGAGACCCAAUGGUUCUAUUAAUGUUUUUGGUUCGAUGAUGAUCAUGAUGUUCCUCGAGGAGGAAGCUGUACACGGGUUGGCUAUUACUAAAACUUGGCUUCCACUAAUAAUAAAUACCUGACCAACUAAAAGCAACUGCUUGAGCUUAACUCCACAUAAAGCUAGUCCACCUCAGCCAAACAGGACAUUUGCUGAGUACGUUGAUGUGUACUCACCCUUGCUUUCACAAAACACCAGGUUGCCUUUGGUGCAAUCUAUGCUCAGGUAAAGAAGGUGUCGAGGCGGAUCUCCAGGAGUUCCAGGUCUUCGACGAGUCCGAGGAUUAGGCUAGCGACCUCCCCCAGUCAGCUGCCUGUGGUGGGUUGUUUACGUUGGCUACGUUUCGAUUCUGUGUACUUUGAUUUAUAUUAUGUAAAUGGCUCCAGUCUGUAAUAUUAUUACUUACUCUUUAUUGUAAUUCGAAGCAUUGUGCUAUGAUGAGUCAU